UACGUAGGGCGCAAGCGUUGUCCGGAAUUAUUGGGCGUAAAGAGCUCGUAGGUGGCUUUUCGCGUCUGCCGUGAAAGCCCGUGGCUUAACUACGGGUCUGCGGUGGAUACGGGCAGGCUAGAGGCUGGUAGGGGCAAGCGGAAUUCCUGGUGUAGCGGUGAAAUGCGCAGAUAUCAGGAGGAACACCGGUGGCGAAGGCGGCUUGCUGGGCCAGUUCUGACGCUGAGACACGAAAGCCAGGGGAGCGAACGGG
rnacentral:rRNA from 1 species